CAGAUGAGUAUGGAGGAGUGAAAACAGGCAAAAUAUAUUGUAAUAACUCUACACAGCAGCAUAGCAGUCUGCAGCUCCCACAUUUCAGGAACCAGAGGAAAUUUCUCUCUUUUUAAGAGCAUUUGGUGGAUUCCCCUUCCAUUAGUUUGUACAGAUGCUGUCUGUUGGGGUGAAAACGUCUGGCAUCCACAAGGUCCAGCAGCAGCAGAUGCACAGCUUCAUUACAGAUCUCCAUCAGGUCAUUUUAAGCCUGAUGCCUCAGACAUAAAACAGCAGGGACAAAGAGUAUCACGUAAGAUGGAAAAUGCCAAUUUCAAACCUCCCACUGAGUACCCCAGCAUGAACUACAGCAGUUAAUCUACAGGAGCUGACUAUUAACAUUCCUCCUUGUCCCCAAACCCUCCAUGGACAUAACCUUUACCGAUAUGCAGCAUCUCCCUUGCCUCUCCUGUGUCUCCUGUAGUGAAGACCAGCACCAAGCACAGAGAGGAUCCAGAACAGAUGCGAUGCACAAAAUUAAAAACAUAGUGGGAGAACAGCCAGUUACCUGCAAAUGAAGUUAUGUACUUGUCACCACCAGACCAGCCGUGGGGCUGGAGCAGCCCUGGGCUGCCCAUUAGAGGCUGCAGAACUCCUGUGCUCCAGCACCACCCUCUUGUUCUCACUUCCCAGAGCCCUCAGGGUCUGACCUACGGCCAGGAAGAGCCUCUCACCUCUCCAGGUCUUGCUUCACAAGGGAUUGAGCUCUCCUGACAGUCCUUGUCUUUCCUCCUGUUCUCCUGCCAAAAAUGUCUGUAAAUUCCAGCUUUUUCCUUGGCAACUCCCUCAAAAGGCAAGAGCGUAAGGGAGGAGCUUCCCCCCCCUGUUUUUUUUUCCUGGUAGCCAAUUCCCUGGCUGGCUGAGUUCAACUCAUUUGUUUCUACUGAAUGUUUGCUUUUUGAGCUGCUGUAAAAUUAGAUGGCAGGAAGCCUAGAACUCCUGCGUAGGCAUCUUCCUUACCAUCUCCUAAGCCAUGAAGCACAGAAAUGGUGUGUUCGUUCCAGUGAAGAAAGCCUGGCCAACAUUUCCACAAGCCUUACAAAUGCUUUGAAACCCAGUGUUGAAAGCUCAUGGACUGAUUAGGACUCGCGUCCCACAGGAGAAAUCCCAACCUAACAAAACAAUAACGCCAGUAUUGAGAAGGAGCCAGACCCUGAGAGGUGUUGGAGCUCUAAGUUUUGAAAAUGCCAGAUAUUUCUAAAUCUGAUGCCUAAACUACUAAGCUGUCCCAUCAGGCAUUAGUGGAAGUAUUUAUUAUUUUUAAUACAUGCUGCCUGCCGGCAGAGGCAAACAAAGUAAAAGAGAAAUGACAAGUGCCCCUUCAAAGGGACUGCCAGCUGAAACAAGAAAUCUGUAGGUAUAGUUCAGACUUUGUACUUUCGAAUGCAUGUGCACCUACAAAGAGAGACAAAGAAUUACAAUCAUGCUAUUCCUGACUCCAACCAUUUCUUUGCAUUUAAAAAUACACAGAAUGCCAUGAACAUUCAUUAUUCUUUAAUGGCACACUUUGGCCAGGAGAACCGAAUGUAGGAAAAUGAAAGACCCAGUUUGCUAUUGAAAAUUGAAGGCUUCUCAUUAAAAGUUUUUAAAAAGAAAAGUGUAAUAGUCAGGAGAAAGUGUCUACUUUUAACUCCUUUCUCUUGUUCCUCCCCAACUGUGCUCUGGGCCAUGAAGAUUAAGAAAGUAUUAAGAAAGAAUGCUUAAUAAUGGUGGCCUUUACUUAAGAGCAGACUGCCAAAACAGUAAGGGAAGGUUAAUCUGAUUAAAAUAAUGACGACAUUUACCAAACCAGAAACUUGGCUUUUAAUAAGGAAGCCUACAUGCAAAACAAUAAUUUUCACAUUUUUUUGUGAAAAGAUGACUAUUUUAUGAUAGACUAUAAAAGGUUGUGUUCAGCUGUCUUUGGGAUUUACAAGGUGUUAAUAACAGACGUCCCAUAACUUGUUUACCAUACCAGAAAUACAUUCAGAUAAAUGCCAUCAUCAUGGAUGAGUGAUGUUAGUCUAAGAGGGCUCAAAGUUCCCUGGAGUCAAUGCACAACCUUUUCACAGUCUUCCUUGGUAACAUCUUAUCUGAAAUAGGACAGGCAUAAAAUUUAGAUCAUGUUAGUAACAGCAAAAGACAUGACACAUGGCACAUCCACUUCAUGAAGACUAAUCCAUGGAGAGACAAUAAGUUAUUCCCUAGUUAAUCUGUUUUGUGGACCACAGAGUUUUGCGCAACUGAAGCCAGCAGUGUGCAGCACAAGCCCCCCCCAGACAGACCCCAAACAACCCAGCAUUUGCCCAAAUCUGGUCCUUGUAGCAUCCCAGCGACUCUGCAAAAGGCAGCAGCUCUCAGAUUCCACUCAAUUUCUACUGGCACACGCAACCCCUAAUUUAGGAAGAAAAGGUUACAGGGUGGCACACCCUCACUGAAAAAGUGCCAACACCUGCUUUACAAUAGCCCUUUUUAAAUUCCAGGAUCUCUUCCAGCCAGUUUCAUCUAACUUCCAUUUCAUUUUAUUUCUACAGCCUCUUUGCUCACAUACCUUUUAAGUCAUUAUUUCCCAAAGUGAAAGAUAAUGUACCAUUAUUAUCCUAUAUCUUAAGAAAACGUGAUACAAUACUAGAUCGAUAUCCCAGCCUACUACUAAAUGGCUGCACAGCCAGCCACAAAUCUUCCCGUCCUUAUCACUCAAAUAGUGAAAUACCUAAGGUUCUUUUCCACAAAAAGCUCUUCCACAUUUGGUAUGUUUUUCAUUUAAUGGCUUUAUUCCUUCUUUAAGUGAGUUGCACAUAUUCUAAUGAUGCAUUUCCCUUAUUAUGUCUCCAUCUGCAAUUUAUUCAUUUGUAUGAAUUUAACUCUGGUGAACAGUAAAUUCAGAGACAGAAGAAACAGCAAGCAGUCAUUGUACAAAAUUCUCCAAACCCAUCUGCCUUCAUUUUGGUACAAGAGCAAUCAAACAUCUAGUGCUCAGUGGUGGACCAUCCUCUGUUCCAGCUGACAUACCACAAAGUCUCUGAUGACGAGGCCAACGAGAAUAAAAUUGUCAUCUUUCUUUCAGGAAGAGAAUCUCAAAUAUUUUUUCUGCUCCAUCAGUCUCAUGUGGGCCAGAACUGCCAUCCUGUGGUAGCAACCUUGAUCCAGUGCUCCAGUGCACAUAAGCCACAGACCUCCUUUUAUAUACAGCUUACUUGGAGAACGGGGCUCAUUUGGAGAGGAAAGGCAUGGAGGAUAUUUCCUAUCAUAAUACUAUUACAACAGUAUCAUAAAAAUUGAAAACAGUGGUCACGAGGUAUGAUUCCUUACCAGUCUUACAAGUCACCAAUACCUAGCCUGUUUCACUUGUUAAAAAAAAAAAAAAAUCUCUAGUUAAACUGUGGUUGUUUUGUUUUAAAUAAAAACACAUCUGGUUUCCAAGCA